UACGGAGGGUGCGAGCGUUGUCCGGAAUCAUUGGGCGUAAAGGGCGCGUAGGUGGCCCGGUCAGUCAGUGGUGAAAGCGCGGGGCUCAACUCCGCGUCGGCUAUUGAUACUGCUGGGCUUGAGCACUGUAGAGGCAGGCGGAAUUCCGGGUGUAGCGGUGGAAUGCGUAGAGAUCCGGAAGAACACCGGUGGCGAAGGCGGCCUGCUGGGCAGUGGCUGACACUGACGCUCAUGCACGAAAGCGUGGGGAGCAAACAGG
rnacentral:rRNA from 1 species